GUGCUCACUUCAGCAGCAUAUGUAGUAAAAUUGGAGCAAUACAGAGAAGAUUAGCAUGACCCCUGUGCAAGGAUGACUUGCAAAUCUGUUAAGUGUUCCAUAUGAAU